rnacentral:rRNA from 1 species
GACGAACGCUGGCGGCGUGCUUAACACAUGCAAGUCGAGCGAGGCCCCUCCUUCGGGAGGGUGUCCUAGCGGCGAACGGGUGAGUAACACGUGGGCAACCUGCCCUCAGCUCUUGGAUAACUCCUGGAAACCGGGGCUCAUACCGGAUACGACCUCCACUGCCAUCUGCUGAGGUGUAAAGUUUUUCGGCUGGGGAUGGGCCCGCGGCCUAUCAGCUAGUUGGUGGGGUAGUGGCCCACCAAGGCGACGACGGGUAGCCGGCCUGAGAGGGCGACCGGCCACACUGGGACUGAGACACGGCCCAGACUCCUACGGGAGGCAGCAGUGGGGAAUAUUGCGCAAUGGGCGAAAGCCUGACGCAGCGACGCCGCGUGAGGGACGAAGGCCUUCGGGUUGUAAACCUCUUUCAGCAGGGACGAAGCGAAAGUGACGGUAACUGCAGAAGAAGCACCGGCCAACUACGUG